AUUAAGCUAAAAAUGUUAAAGAAAAAUAAUAUAAAUUUUAAGUUAGGAAAUCAAUUGAAUGAAAUUUGAUUGUACAUAAAUAGUUUUCCUGUUUUAUUUCCCCCUUUGGACAGCAUAUCAAGGCCAAUGACUCUUACCCAUAAGGAUUUAAAUAAUUUUCUACAACAACAAAAACCGCUUAGACUUUAUAUGGAAGGACGAUCUCUUUUCAUUUCGCAUGCAAAAGAGUGGAAUGGAAAGGAAAAGUAAAACGAUUUAAUCGAAUUUAUAAUGUUUAAUGGCAGUUAAUCGAAGUAAAACAGCAACAUCUAUAAAUAAAUAUCAAUUAAAUUAAAGAAAAUGAUUAGCAAUUAAUUAUAUGCCCCC
rnacentral:lncRNA from 1 species